UACGUAGGGAGCAAGCGUUGUCCGGAAUCAUUGGGCGUAAGCGCGCGUAGGUGGCCCCGAAGUCCGCUGUGAAAGUCAAAGGCUCAACCUUUGAAAAGCCGGUGGAUACUGUGGGACUAGAGUACGGAAGAGGCGAGUGGAAUUCCUGGUGUAGCGGUGGAAUGCGCAGAUAGUCAGGAGGAACACCAAUAGCGAAGGCGCUCGCUGGGACGUUACUGACA
rnacentral:rRNA from 1 species